UACGGGGGGAGCAAGCGUUGUUCGGAUUUACUGGGCGUAAAGGGCGCGUAGGCGGUCGUGACAAGUCACUUGUGAAAUCUCCGGGCUUAACUCGGAACGGUCAAGUGAUACUGUCGGACUAGAGUACAGAAGGGGCAACUGGAAUACUUGGUGUAGCAGUGAAAUGCGUAGAUAUCAAGUGGAACACCAGUGGCGAAGGCGAAUCCCUGGAAAAUACCUGACACUGAGGAGCGAAAGCCAGGGGAGCAAACGGG
rnacentral:rRNA from 1 species